rnacentral:rRNA from 1 species
AUUGAACGCUGGCGGCAUGCCUUACACAUGCAAGUCGAACGGUAACAGGUCUUCGGAUGCUGUCGAGUGGCGAACGGGUGAGUAAUACAUCGGAACGUGCCUAGUAGUGGGGGAUAACUACUCGAAAGAGUGGCUAAUACCGCAUGAGAUCUACGGAUGAAAGCAGGGGAUCGCAAGACCUUGUGCUACUAGAGCGGCCGAUGGCAGAUUAGGUAGUUGGUGGGAUAAAAGCUUACCAAGCCGACGGUCUGUAGCUGGUCUGAGAGGACGAUCAGCCACACUGGGACUGAGACACGGCCCAGACUCCUACGGGAGGCAGCAGUGGGGAAUUUUGGACAAUGGGCGAAAGCCUGAUCCAGCAAUGCCGCGUGCAGGAUGAAGGCCUUCGGGUUGUAAACUGCUUUUGUACGGAACGAAAAGCCCCGGGUUAAUACCCUGGGGUCAUGACGGUACCGUAAGAAUAAGCACCGGCUAACUACGUGCCAGCCGCCGCGGUAA